AACGAACGCUGGCGGCAUGCCUAACACAUGCAAGUCGAACGAGACCUUCGGGUCUAGUGGCGCACGGGUGCGUAACGCGUGGGAACCUGCCCUUAGGUUCGGAAUAACUCCCCGAAAGGGGUGCUAAUACCGGAUAAUGUCUUCGGACCAAAGAUUUAUCGCCCUUGGAUGGGCCCGCGUUGUAUUAGCUAGUUGGUAGGGUAAAAGCCUACCAAGGCGACGAUCCAUAGCUGGUCUGAGAGGAAGAUCAGCCACACUGGGACUGAGACACGGCCCAGAAUCCUACGGGAGGCAGGAGUGGGGGAUAUUGGACAAUGGGCGAAAGCCUGAUCCAGCAAUGCCGGGUGAGUGAUGAAGGCCUUAGGGUUGUAAAGCUCGUUUACCCGGGAUGAUAAUGACAGUACCGGGAGAAUAAGCACCGGCUAACUCCGUG
rnacentral:rRNA from 1 species